GUUGGGGACAUGAAAGCAGAAAAAUUCUUCCAGGUGAUCAUAACUGUUCUCCUGGCAUGCCGCAAACAACUCUGCUUAUCUAAGUAAGCACAGGAGUUUUAGAAUAAUCAUCCUAGGUAACUCUUCUGGGCCUGGGAUGCUGCCAAGGCUUGGAAGGUGUCUCUCCUUCCCCUGGGAAAGAGUUUUCUCCCAUCAGUUGAAAAAUAUGGAUCCCCCCACCUUUAAAAAUAAUAAUAAUAUUCUAUUGAAUUUUCUGUCUCUGUAACCUUUCUGGUAUCCUAUCUGUUUUCAUGUUCGAUCGUCGUGUGCCAUAGAGAUUUGAAAGCUAUCUGCAUCUUAAGAAAUAAAAAUAAAACGAAGAUGAGUUGCAAAUUAAAUGCAAGCAAAUCCUCAGGGCUCAAAGAGUUGCUUUCGUGGUUGAAUGUGAUACUUCGCCUCCAACAUGUUUUGGAAACUUUUCUCUUUCUUCUCCUGCCUUUCAGUGGAUUCCUGUAAUAUUGGGAAUUUUACAUGAAGGAGCUGAAUGUCUGAAAUAACAUUCCAGGUGUUAGGGCAGCAGUGCUGGGAUCGCCGUAAGGAAUUCUGUUCUGAACAUGAAGAAAUAGUAAGAGAAUCUGAUAAAAUUACUUUUAGCAAUGUAGAAAAUUAGUAUUCAACUAAUGGGGCUUUAUUUGUGAUUCUAAUGGUGCCCAUUUCCACGGAAAGCAUCAACCUCACCCAUGUGGUUUCAUCACUUGCAUGCAUCUCUCAGCUGUGUGGGAGCACACCAUGGCAAAGUAGCUUCCAAUCUGCAAUCCUUAGUAUACUUCCUGAGAGCAAGGGCUGGGGGAAUCUCCAGAACAGAUUUGGGAGGGUGCAUGUGGGGCAGAGGUGCCAUCUGACACCCAUGAAAGGGGAGCAGGAAAAAACUUAAAUAGACCGGAAGCAACUGUACUUCAUCCAGCAGAGCUUUUACAGGUGCUGAAGGCAAAAGAGCACAAAUGGUCACAGAUCCAAUACAUUCAGGAUUGGCACUGUCCAUAAGAAAUCCAGUUGCAGCACUUACCAUAAAACUUACAAAGCUUAUAAUAAGUCUAAAACAGGCUUCCUCAACCUCGGCCCUCCAGAUGUUUUGAGACUACAAUUCCCAUCAUCCCUGAUCACUGGCCCUGCUAGAUAGGGAUCAUGGGAGUUGUAGGCCAAAAACAUCUGGAGGAGUGAGGUUGAGGAAGCCUGGUCUAAAACUUAACACUACAGCAUGCAGAAACAGAUCACCAGAACAAAGGAGACAGAAAAGAGAAAGCAAGUGAGACCUCCUGGUCUUACUAUUAUAGUCAGCACAACCUUGGCAGAAAGAUAACAGAACCAGUUUAAACCAGCUGUACUCGGCUUCCCAGAGAAAUAACCCAAACAGAAACCUCCUUUCACACAGAGAAGCUUCUUGAACCUUCUUGUAGUAAACAGAACAGGAAGGAUCUCUACACAUCAGGUCAAUACUUUCUGUACUAAGAAAUGACAACUGACACCAACUUCUCGAAAACAUUGCAGGGGCCCAAGACAAUGCCCUGACGUCAUGUGUGUGAUGUCGCACAGAGCCAGGGGGUGGAGCCAAGUGUGGUGGCAGCAUGGCUACAGCAACUGGUGUCCCCCAUCCUCCCCACCCCUCUGCAGCACCAGGGAAAGGGGGGAGCUGCCCCCACUGUGCCUCCAGAUUCUACUCCAGAGAGCCAGUGUGGUGUAGUGGUUAAGAGCAGUGGACUCGUAAUCUGGUGAACCGGGUUUGUGUCUCCACUCCUCCACAUGCAGCUGCCGGGUGACCUUGGGCUAGUCCCACUUCUUUGAAGUCUCUCAGCCUCACUCACCUCACAGAGUGUUUGUUGUGGGGGAGGAAAGGAAAGGAGAUUGUUAGACGCUUUGAGACUCCUUCGGGUAGUGAUAAAGCGGGAUAUCAAAUCCAAACUCCUCCCCCUCCUCUUCUUCCUCUGGCUGGUUCAAGUCCCCCUACCUGGUGACAUUCUGCGCUCCACAGAAGGGGCAAGGGAGAGAUCUGCCAUAUCUGGUUUUUCCCCUCUGACUUUUAGAGUUACAAAGAGACGCCCUCCCUGCUUCAUCCCUGGGUGCCCACCUUCCAGUCCCUCAUCUGCUCCUCCUGUUUGCAUUUCAGGCUGCCAAAUCAUGUCAGAUCCUGACAAAGCUGAGGGGGCCAUGGUAGGACAGGAGAUAUGGGUCCCCAGCACAAAGGACCUGGGCCUCUGGCCUCCUGUGCCUCCCCUUAAAUAUACCUAUAAAAUCAACUACCUGAAAGCUUUUCUCCUUUAAGUUUACGCUUUAAUUAUGGGGCAAAUGUCCAAGGCUGUGUUAUGAAAAGACUCAUGGCAUAAUCACAUUUACUCAGACAUAAAUCCCACUGAAUUUAAUGGGGUUUACUCCCAAGUAAGUAAGUACAGUGGUACCUUGGGUUAAGAACUUAAUUCGUUCUGGAGGUCCAUUCUUAACCUCCCGCUGCUCCCAUGCGAUUUCUGUUCUCAUCCUGAAGCAAAGUUCUUAACCCGAGGUACUAUUUCUUGGUUAGCAGAGUAUGUAAUCUGAAGUGUCUGGAACCUGAAGAGUCUGUAACCCGAGGUACCACUGUAUAAGAUUACAGCCAUAGCUUGCUUAUCUUUGUCUCUAAAAACACUCCUGCUGCUAUCUUUUCCUUUUCUGGUUACGUUCUCAGGAGAAGCCAACAUGUUGCCCUCCGAAUGUUGUUGAAUCACGACUCCGAUCAUCUCUAACCACUGGCCAUGCUGUCUAGAGAUGGCAAGAUCUGGGAGUUAACAAUAUCUGGGAGAUAUUUUUCCCUCCUUCCUCUUUCAGCAUGUUGCUGGAAAAGGAGAGGAGCGGCAGUUGAACAAUUUUGGAGCCCAGCCUGUAGUGUAACAUAACCGCUGUGGUAUAUAUAAUAAACAAGAUUCAAAUAGCA